AUCUACAACCAUAGCACCCUGAGCCCACCUGACCUUGUCUAAUCUUGGAAGCUAAGCAGGGUCAUGACACCAAGAUGGAAGGCAGAGGGUGCAGUGGGAAUGGUGGGGU
rnacentral:rRNA from 1 species